rnacentral:tRNA from 1 species
GAUUAUUUAGUUUAAACAAAACAAAUGUUUUGAAAACAUUAAAUAAGAAUAUUAUUCUUAAUAAUUG